rnacentral:rRNA from 1 species
AGUGAACGCUGGCGGUAGGCCUAACACAUGCAAGUCGAACGGCAGCACAGUAAGAGCUUGCUCUUACGGGUGGCGAGUGGCGGACGGGUGAGGAAUACAUCGGAAUCUACUUUUUCGUGGGGGAUAACGUAGGGAAACUUACGCUAAUACCGCAUACGACCUACGGGUGAAAGCAGGGGAUCUUCGGACCUUGCGCGAUUGAAUGAGCCGAUGUCGGAUUAGCUAGUUGGCGGGGUAAAGGCCCACCAAGGCGACGAUCCGUAGCUGGUCGGAGAGGAUGAUCGGCCAAACGGGAACUGAGACACGGUCCAGACUCCUACGGGAGGCAGCAGUGGGGAAUAUUGGACAAGGGGCGCAAGCCUGAUCCAGCCAUACCGCGGGGGUGAAGAAGGCCUUCGGGUUGUAAAGCCCUUUUGUUGGGAAAGAAAAGCAGCAGGUUAAUACCCCGCUGUUCUGACGGUACCCAAAGAAUAAGCACCGGCGAACUUCGU